CAGCCCGCAUGCCUGAAAAUGUCUAAGAAAAUAGCGAUUUUUUCAUGCCCACCUCCUCGAUCCAGCAUAAUUACAGCGUAUCAGAGUUACAAUAACACUCGGCUGGACACCUAGCAUCCGCUCACUCUCACGAUGCUAAGUCCCCAUGUGCAGUUACAACCCGUGUGCAUCUCUAUUUAAGAGAGAUCGUAGGACAUAAUCGGACUUUUACACUAUUUCUAUACAUAGUAUAACCCCAAGUACUAAACUGUAACUGACUCUAACACCAAGAACUUAAGGAAAAUAAAGUAGUCGUUGUUUAAUUUCUAUUUAGUCAGAUUAGAGCGUGUGCCAACAUUGUACCCAACAAGUUUUUUUUAGCAUAAUGGAAUGCUGCAAAUUUUAUGCACAUGUACACAAUACUCUUGCAUCCGCAUUAGCUUUUACAAAUUUUGGGGAAUGAAAACUACGUACUCUGGGCUUUUGCACGGUAUGAGAUAUGCACAUCCUCCAUUAUUACAAAGGUACUACACAUGAAGCGGAGAAUUAACUAGGAGAAUUGUGGCAAAUAAAAGCGAAGAUCCAUGUGUGAUAAAAGAGGUACGGGAGGUCACAGAGCGCACUUGCCAUUUUUUUGGGUUCAUCAGCUAGUUCUCUUCUAUUUUACUAGAUCUGUGAAAUGUACGCUGCUCAAGUGCUCAUCUCUUGUGUCUAAACACUAUCGAUUUUGUAGCAUUGGCAUGGAAGGUAUUAGGAAUUUGGUUAUGUGGCAUGCAUCUAAAAGUAGUCGCUCACUACCAGGAUGGGACAAGAGAAGUGAGCCUCCCAACCUACGCACGGGAAGUCUCAGGACUUCUUGAGACCUGCCAUCAAAUACACACGGCAAAACGAGUUGGAAAAGCCCUCGAGCUCCCAUCUGAACAUUCCUUAUUGCUGACACAUCCGGAACAGAAUCCCAAGUGUUUUGAGCUGCUUCUUUAGGCACUCGGGAAACUGUCCCAUCCUGGUAGUAACUCAUGACAUUGCACUGGUGUGUACAGAGAUUACGGCUCCCCAAUUCCAACCGAAACAAUUUAUUUGUCCAUUGAUCACCGCCAAAAAAAAAUUAGAGGCAAAUGAAGGAUAUGUCCUCUUGUCUCUCUUGAUCUCUCAAUUAAUCUAAUCUGAUAGUAACCUUUAUAAAGAAAUAUUAAUAUUGGCACCAUGUGUGCAGCAUUAGAAUUUUAGUAAAUCUCUAAAUGCAUAUACUAACUCAGAACCAUACUGAUCGUGCGAGUGGCUGCAAAGCUAUGCGCAUGUGGAUAUGUAGUAUCAAUUCACAACAGUUUCAUGUGUGAAUUUAAGGGUGCAAGGCUCUGUCCGAGGAGACAUAUUGAAUCAGUUGGAUAUACAUGGACGAAACACUGAUCUCAGCUUAUUCGUUUCAAAGGAAUUGCAAAGAAAAAGUAUAGGAAUAGGAAUGGGUUUUAAACUACCAUUCGUUUCAUAGGAAUGCACCAUAGGAAAACUAUAGGAAAGUUUUCCAUUCCUCCAUUUUUGAAGGAAAAGCAUAGGAAAAAAUAAUCCACUCCAACCUAAUGUUUGCAUCCUUUGAUUGGCUUGCUCAACAACAUAGGAAAAAUUCCUGUGUUUUUCAAUCCAUAGGUUUGCACAUGUAUUCCUGUAGUAUUCCUACGUUUUUCCUAUUCCUACGUUUUGAAAAUCAUGUGAACCGAACGAGCUGCCUACAGUAGUUACCGCUGCACCCGUGCACCGUUCAUGAACUUAUACGGAAUUAUGUAGUUGAGGCAGGACAAGAACCAUUAGACCAAACCUUAGAAAGUUGGUUGUAUAAUUUGAAUAGAAAGUAAUGGUUCAAAUGGAUUUUAAAUCCGAUGUACGAUUCAAAAGAUUGGAUCUAUUAAAAGGAAAGAAAUAAGCAAGUGCUAUCCUUACUUGCUUUGCUGCAUGAGCAUGUAUGGUCAUUAUCUCUAAUUCAGAAAUUGACGGUGGCGAUUAAAACACAUGAGGCCCACCGUCAUUAGCACCGUUAACUCCAGGAUCAUCCAAUCAGUACACAUGAUUUUAUCUCGAACAACUCAACAGAUUAAUUAACAUGCUUAUGCGCUGCCUUAUCAAGGAAAUUAAGCGUGAUCUUGUUGGCUUACGCUAGGAAUUCGGAACAGAUGAGGCAGAUCGUUGCCGCCGCCGCUGUCUAUAUAAGGAGCAGAACCCAUCUAGAGCGGGGGACGCUGACGACGCCACAGGAGACACCCAACCACCAUUUUCAUUCAUCCCAUUCCUCUUAGUAGAUUAGGAAAAUCAGGAGAGGAGAUCGAAGCCUGCCGGUGAUAGCAAACCAGCGCCGCUGCAGAGAAAAAUAAACACCGCAGCCGGCGUUAUUCGUCAAGUCGAUUCAUUUAUCGACAACAUGCCGCCAUUCAGGAUAUUUGCGCUGGAUGGUGAGCACAUUGAAUAAAUAUUAAUUUUCUAGAUUAAACACAAUAGAUGUUCGGUCCUUAUUGGCGAUCGGAACAUCUGCGUGUUUUUAAUC